AACGAACGCUGGCGGCGCGUCUUACGCAUGCCAGUCGAACGGCAAGAGAGGAGCUUGCUUCUCUCCUAGAGUGGCGGACUGGUGAGGAACACGUGGGUAAUCUACCCUUAAGAUGGGGAUAGCUGCUAGAAAUAGCAGGUAAUACCGAAUACACUCGGCAUAUCACAAGAGGUGUUGAGGAAAGGAAGCUACGGCUUCGCUUGAGGAUGAGCUUGCGUCCCAUUAGCUAGUUGGUGAGGUAAAGGCCCACCAAGGCGACGAUGGGUAUCCGGCCUGAGAGGGUGAACGGACACAUUGGGACUGAGAUACGGCCCAAACUCCUACGGGAGGCAGCAGCUAAGAAUAUUCCGCAAUGGACGGAAGUCUGACGGAGCGACGCCGCGUGGAUGAAGAAGGCUGAAAAGUUGUAAAAUCCUUUUGUUGAUGAAGAAUAAGGGUGAGAGGGAAUGCUCAUCUGAUGACGGUAAUCGACGAAUAAGCCCCGGCUAAUUACGUG
rnacentral:rRNA from 1 species